rnacentral:rRNA from 1 species
UCAGCCCUAAACACAAAUAAUUUUAAAAACAAAAUUAUUCGCCAGAGUACUACCGGCAACAGCCUAAAACUCAAAGGACUUGGCGGUGCUUUAUACCCUUCUAGAGGAGCCUGUUCUAUAAUCGAUAAACCCCGAUAAACCUCACCAAUUCUUGCUAAUACAGUCUAUAUACCGCCAUCUUCAGCAAACCCUAAAAAGGAACAAAAGUAAGCGCAAUCAUAACAUAUAAAAACGUUAGGUCAAGGUGUAACCUAUGAAAUGGGAAGAAAUGGGCUACAUUUUCUACUUCAAGAAAACCCACAUACGAAAGUUAUUAUGAAACUAAUAACCAAAGGAGGAUUUAGUAGUAAACUAAGAAUAGA